rnacentral:rRNA from 1 species
UCGAGCGGUAGAGAGAAGCUUGCUUCUCUUGAGAGCGGCGGACGGGUGAGUAAUGACUAGGAAUCUGCCUGGUAGUGGGGGAUAACGUUCGGAAACGGACGCUAAUACCGCAUACGUCCUACGGGAGAAAGCAGGGGACCUUCGGGCCUUGCGCUAUCAGAUGAGCCUAGGUCGGAUUAGCUAGUUGGUGAGGUAAUGGCUCACCAAGGCGACGAUCCGUAACUGGUCUGAGAGGAUGAUCAGUCACACUGGAACUGAGACACGGUCCAGACUCCUACGGGAGGCAGCAGUGGGGAAUAUUGGACAAUGGGCGAAAGCCUGAUCCAGCCAUGCCGCGUGUGUGAAGAAGGUCUUCGGAUUGUAAAGCACUUUAAGUUGGGAGGAAGGGUUGUAGAUUAAUACUCUGCAAUUUUGACGUUACCGACAGAAUAAGCACCGGCUAACUCUGUGCCAGCAGCCGCGGUAAUACAGAGGGUGCAAGCGUUAAUCGGAAUUACUGGGCGUAAAGCGCGCGUAGGUGGUUUGUUAAGUUGGAUGUGAAAUCCCCGGGCUCAACCUGGGAACUGCACUCAAAACUGACUGACUAGAGUAUGGUAGAGGGUGGUGGAAUUUCCUGUGUAGCGGUGAAAUGCGUAGAUAUAGGAAGGGACACCAGUGCCGAAGGCGACCACCUGGACUAAUACUGACACUGAG